rnacentral:rRNA from 1 species
UGCCUAACACAUGCAAGUCGAGCGGUAGCAGGCCUUCGGGCGCUGACGAGCGGCGGACGGGUGAGGAACACGUAGGAAUCUGCCUUGUAGUGGGGGAUAGCCCAGAGAAAUUUGGAGUAAUACCGCAUAUACCCCGAGGGGGAAAGUGGGGGACCGCAAGGCCUCACGCUAUGAGAGGAGCCUGCGUCGGAUUAGCUAGUUGGUGGGGUAAAGGCUCACCAAGGCGACGAUCCGUAGCUGGUCUGAGAGGAUGAUCAGCCACACUGGGACUGAGACACGGCCCAGACUCCUACGGGAGGCAGCAGUGGGGAAUAUUGGACAAUGGGCGAAAGCCUGAUCCAGCCAUGCCGCGUGUGCGAAGAAGGCCUUCGGGUUGUAAAGCAC